rnacentral:tRNA from 1 species
GUAGCUCAGUUAGGUAGAGCAGCUGGCUGAACCCCAGACGGUCGCCGGUUCGAAUCCGGCCAACUCCA